rnacentral:rRNA from 1 species
CACGUAGGGUGCGAGCGUUGUCCGGAAUUAUUGGGCGUAAAGAGCUCGUAGGCGGUGUGUCGCGUCGGCCGUGAAAACCUGCAGCUUAACUGUGGGCUUGCGGUCGAUACGGGCAUCACUGGAGUUCGGCAGGGGAGACUGGAAUUCCUGGGUGUAGCGGUGGAAUGCGCAGAUAGUCAGGAGGAACACCGGUGGCGAAGGCGGGUCUCUGGGCAGUGAACU